UGCAGAUCUGUACCCAUUAGCUGUCCAUGGAUUAAUUUAUUGGGCUGGAAAUGGCAGUUUAAAACCCUGAAGGAUUCAGGACAAUUUCCUGUGGUGUCUCUGUAAAGCUGCAAAUGCCAUGUCAGGAACAACAGGGAGCCCCAGACUGUGUGACGUGGAGUGAGAGGAGAACUAUAAACAAUCUUAAAUACUGAUUGAACCGGGAGAAAGCCUCAAUUAUUAAUCUAGCCUUAUUCAGUCUGAUUUUUCCACUGAUUUCUAACAAGAUCCUUAUCUCAGAAUGGAAAUCACUGGUAAGUGUUAUGA